rnacentral:rRNA from 1 species
CCUACGGGAGGCAGCAGUGAGGAAUAUUGGUCAAUGGACGGAAGUCUGAACCAGCCAUGCCGCGUGCAGGAAGACGGCUCUAUGAGUUGUAAACUGCUUUUGUAUAAGGGUAAACCUGAAUACGUGUAUUCAGCUGAAAGUACUGUACGAAUAAGGAUCGGCUAACUCCGUGCCAGCAGCCGCGGUAAUACGGAGGAUCCAAGCGUUAUCCGGAUUUAUUGGGUUUAAAGGGUGCGUAGGCGGAUUGAUAAGUUAGAUGUGAAAGGUUCGGGCUUAACUCGGAAACUGCCUCUAAUACUGGUGAUCUAGAGAGUAGAUGCGGUAGGCGGAAUGUAUGGUGUAGCGGUGAAAUGCUUAGAGAUCAUACAGAACACCGAUUGCGAAGGCAGCUUACCAAUCUAUAUCUGACGUUGAGGCACGAAAGCGUGGGGAGCAAACAGGAUUAGAUACCCGGGUAGUC